UAGAAUGACAACAGAUUUGUUACCUUUGAUCUUUCAAAGAAAAAAUAUAAUAUGAAAUUUGUAUUUACCUGCAAUGCUGCUCUAUUGGAAUUUUAUUUUGAUUUUGAAAAUUAUGUACAGUAGAACAUAUAGUGAUAAUGCAAUUAGAGUUUUUUUUUUUUUUUUAUUUACAGGUACGGAAUCCGGAAAAUUUGUGUUCAUGUAUAUUAUUGUUAAAACCAUGUAUCCAUAAAUGCGCUUCUUUUCAUCUCGUGCUUGUUUAUCAUGAAACAUAUAUAUAUAUCAAAUGUAGACUGUUUACUGGGUGUAUUUUCAUAUAUAAGAUUUUUACACAUUUUUAAGUUUGUGUUACAUUUUAUUUACACUAGCAUCAUUUUAUGUUAUGGUUAAAUAUGACACAAUCACUUUUUGUUAUGUCCAGCCAUUUCAAUUUUAAAAAUGUGACACAAUAUGCAUGCAUGUAAAUAAAACCAUUAAGUGUGGUUUUUUUGAAUGUUUAAAUUCCCAUAAAAUAUUUUCUACUUUAUUACUUUUUUUAAGUGAUUAACUUUUGUUUACUAAUUUUUAAACUAGCAUUUUCAAGAUUGUAGCCGUUUGGAUUACAGUAAUUUCUUGAACAUGCAUUUUUUUAUUGAAAUAAUUGGAAUUUCAUUUUCAUCAUUUUUUUUUUGUGUGUGUGUCAGAUAUUCACAACUUAGAUAUGCUUUGUUCUUCAUUUUCAAUCAUAUAUUGUCGAGUUAUCGCCUCAGUUAUGUUCCUAAAUGCAAUCACUGGUUGAACUUGUUUUGUACAGCUUUUGUCUUCUUUAAAAUUAUUAAAAUGAUUUAUUUUUUCUACAAAAUAUUAAAAUUUUGAAAAAUUGU
rnacentral:sRNA from 1 species